GCUGGUGUAGCAAAGUGGUAUUGCGUUCCCCACCUAAGGGAGAUCGUGGGUUCUAUCCCCACCAUGGGCU